rnacentral:rRNA from 1 species
AUGGCUGGAGAAGAAGGUGAGACGGGGGCGGCGGCGAUCCCUCUGCUGGCGCCGUAUAGGGCGGGCAGCGGCGAGCUGGAGCUGGCGCACAGGGUGGUGCUGGCGCCGCUGACGAGGCAGCGGUCCCCGGGGAACCUCCCGCAGCCGCACGCCGCCGUCUACUACGCGCAGCGCGCGACGGCCGGCGGGAUGCUCAUCACGGAGGCCACAGGCGUGUCCGCCGCGGCGCAGGGCCACCGGCCCACCCCGGGCGUCUGGACGGACGAGCAGGUGGACGCGUGGCGGCCCGUCGUCGACGCCGUGCACGCCAAGGGCGCGGUCAUCUUCUGCCAGCUCUGGCACGUCGGGCGCGUCGUGGGCAAGCUCCGGCCGGACGGGACGCCCGCGGGGACGCCGCGGCCGGUGUCCAGCACCGGCAGGCCGAUCGCCACUCCGCGGAUGAACGACGGCGUCGAGGAGGAGUUCGCGACGCCCAGACGGCUGGAUGUGGCGGAGAUCGCCGGCGUCGUCGACGACUUCAGGAGGGCAGCAAGGAACGCCGUCGACGCCGGGUUCGACGGCGUGGAGAUCCAUGGCGCGCACGGGUACCUCGUGGAGCAGUUCCUCAAGGACAGUGCCAACGACCGCGACGACGAGUAUGGCGGCAGCCUCGAGAACCGGUGCCGCUUCGCGCUCGAGGUGGUCACCGCCGUGGCUAGGGAGAUCGGCGGCCGCCGUGUGGGCGUCCGCCUCUCGCCCUUUGCCGACUACAUGGACUGCCACGACUCCGACCCGCACGCCCUUGCGCUCCACAUGGCCACCAAGCUCAAUGGCAUCCCCGGCGGCAUCCUCUACCUCCACAUGGUGGAGCCAAGGAUGGCACGCGCCGAUGGUCGGCGGGUGGUACCGAAGAGGCUGCGGCCGUACCGGGAGGCGUUUGGCGGGACAUUCAUCGCUGCCGGCGGAUACGACCGGGAGGAGGGGAAUAAGGUGGUCGGAGAGGGGUACGCCGACCUAGUGGCAUUUGGGCGGCUUUUCCUAGCCAACCCGGACCUUCCGAAGAGGUUUGAGUUCGACGCGAAGCUCAACGGGUACAACAGGGCCACCUUCUACACCUCCGACCCUGUUGUUGGCUACACCGACUAUCCAUUUUUGGGCUGA